rnacentral:rRNA from 1 species
AGACGGAGGGCGCAAGCGUUGUUCGGAAUUACUGGGCGUAAAGCGCGGGCAGGUGGUCUGUUAAGUCGUUUGUGAAAAUCCGGGGCUCAACCCCGCGAAAUGCAAGCGAUACUGGCAGACUGGAGAUCGGUAGAGGCUAGCGGAAUUCCUGGUGUAGCGGUGGAAUGCGUAGAUAUCAGGAAGAACACCUGUGGCGAAGGCGGCUAGCUGGGCCGAGUCUGACACUCAUCCGCGAAAGCGUGGGGAGCAAACAGGAUUAGAAACCCCAGUAGUCC